UCAGUAGGUUAAAACUGUCGUGAAACAGGUUAGUUUUACCCUACUGAUGUACCGUCGUUGCAAUAGUAAUCCUGCUCAGUACGAGAGGAACCGCAGGUUCAGACAUUUGGUGCGUGUGCUUUGCUGAAGAGCCACUGGUGCAAAGCUACUAUCUGUGGGAUUAUGACUGAAUGCCUCUAAGUCAGAAUCCUGCCUAAACGUAAUGAUACCGCAGCGCCACGGGACUGUGAUUGGCCUGGGAUAGCCGGUCAAACCCCUGGGGCCGGCCGGUGUGGAGAGCCGUUCGUGACUGGACCGGGGUGCGGCCGAAUGAGUGCCGCCCCUCUCUGGAGACGCACCGCAAGUUUGUGGAGAACCUGGUGCUAAAUGACUCGUAGACGAC